rnacentral:rRNA from 1 species
UACAGAGACUGCAAGCGUUAUUCGGAUUCACUGGGCGUAAAGGGUGCGCAGGCGGUUGGGUGUGUCAGAUGUGAAAUCCCGAGGCUUAACCUCGGAACUGCGUCUGAAACUACUCGACUAGAGUACUGGAGAGGGUAACGGAAUUCACGGUGUAGCAGUGAAAUGCGUAGAUAUCGUGAGGAACACCAGAGGCGAAGGCGGUUACCUGGACAGUUACUGACGCUCAGGCACGAAAGCGUGGGGAGCGAACAGG